UCACGUGUCCCCUCCCCCGCCCCCACGCUGUGCGUCACUUCCGGCCGCUGCGGGGGGGACUCCGGGCGCGCGGCGGAGCCGGCUACAGAAUAACGUCCAGGUUUCGCUCCAGAUCAUCCCAUCCUCCCAGGAGGAACUCAAUGUCUGCAAUGGAGCUGGCUCAGGGACCGGUGACCUUUGAGGAGGUGGCUGUGU